rnacentral:sRNA from 1 species
GCUAUGUUUUAGAUAUAGGUUUUUGAGUGUUUUUGUUAUUUCUAGAGUCAUUUCAGGUAUUCUAUGGAGAGAGAGACAAGAAUGGAGAUAAGGAGACAUUUUGGAGCAAAAGCUGAAGAAAAUAAGCUAAAGGACAAAUUCACUUUCAGAUCAAGUCGAGAGUGUCGACCGACACACUCUUGGUGUUGAUCGACACCGGUUUCAUCCCAGAGAAGUCCAUGACGCUUUCAAGUCUACAGAAGUGGAAAUAUACCCCAGAAGACUUCCCUAUUUGCAUUAUUAGUCCUUGAACGUUUUUUAGGUCAUAUAUAUAGUUUUAGAGGUCAUUGUUUAGACCCAAGAAGUUCUUUCUAUCAAGUUCUUUCAAGCUUUUCAUCCCAGUUUUCUCUUAGAGACAAGCUAUUUAUCGCCUGUUUUUCAGAGAUUCAUUCAGAUUUCAAUAUAGUGAAGAGAUCUUUUCUAACUCUUUCUUUUACUGAAUUGUUUAUGCUUUCUUACUCAAAUAUGUUGCUUGUUUCAAUCUCCAUGUCUGAGUAGUUUGCUUGUUAGGGUUAGGGUUUCUCACUAGGGAUUCAUAUGGUUUAGUACAUCGCCCCUUUGCUAGGUGAUCUAUAGAAUUCUUCAUCUUUAAUUUUUCUUGAUGCUAGUUCUAGAGUAAUUAACUAGAACUUGAAUCCUGACAAUAGAUAUACCCGCCAUAAGUAUAUGUAGUUGAAUCUAUUAUUUGAUGAGCCUGGUCUAUAGGUGUGUAAUAAGAAUCGGCUUAUUUACUAAGGUGAACUGAAUUGAACUCGUUUAUAUUGCAUGCUGAAGUAU